rnacentral:lncRNA from 1 species
UCUGUAAGGUAUUUUGAGAUAAAAUUAACAGACACAUUCUGGGGACACCUGAGACUUGUAUUACAUAUUGGAACAUGCAGGAUUGUGUCCACUUUGUUCAUCCUGAAAGUUUGCUUGGUAAGUCACUGCCCUGUCUGCCCUCUUCCCUUGCAGCUGAAGCAGGAGACCCAGCCGUUGCACCUGGCCUCUCACGCAGCUCACCAUGUGAAUCGCUGCCGCCUCCUAGAGGAUAAGAACAGAGCUCUUCAAAUAGAGCUAGCCACUCUCAGACAGCAGAAACAGCAGCACAGAUCUCUGGGUAAAAUGCACAGGAAGUCCCUGAAUCGUCUACUGUGUUCCAAGUGGUGUGAUGCUGAAGCUGUUGCCCUGGCAACACGCCCACUGGUGAGGGAGGACAGGUUUGGUACAGUCAGGGAGGGAUCAUGGUUUAAGAAGUUGCCGCCCACUCUGCUUCUGCUGCAUGGAGCAGGCCUUGUAAAGAGAGAAGGAGAGCGAGAAAGAGAGAGAGCUGCCGUUACCACUGUCUGA